CCUCAGAGAGAGCAAAAGGUCCUGCCACACUCCUCAGCAUGUGGACCAAUCGGAUCACUGUGGCCAAUUCUAGGAAGCACCAGGAGUUUUUUGGAAGAGCAAGCUCGGUGAACAGCAAGUUCGAGUUGUACCAGCACCUGAAGGAGGAGAACGGGAUGGAUGCCCAUGAAAAUGGAAAAGCUACCAGAUGAUCGUCCAGUUGAUCCGUUUCUCUGGCGAAGACUCUGACGUUCUCCAAUACAGACAAUAACUGAAUUGGAUGGUGAAUUGUAACAAUAAAUUUCUAAUUUUUUACGCA